rnacentral:rRNA from 1 species
GACGAAGGUGGCAAGCGUUACUCGGAAUUACUAGGCGUAAAGCGCGAGCAGGCGGUUUGAUAAGUCUGUUGUGAAAGCCCCGGGCUCAACCCGGGGAGGCCAAUGGAUACUAUCAGACUUGAAUACGGGAGAGGUCACUGGAAUUCCUGGUGUAGCGGUGAAAUGCGUAGAUAUCAGGAGGAACACCGAAGGCGAAGGCAGGUGACUGGACCGUUAUUGACGCUGAGUCGCGAAAGCCGGGGGAGCAAACAGG